GUGGGCAAAACGUGAAAUCUCUUAAAAGAUGUUGGCUGAGCAUAUUAUUAUGACUUUUUCAGGGACUUGCUGUCCCGACGGUGCAAGCACAUUUUCCACAACUAAGACCACUUCCCUGCAAGGAUGCAGCCACGCUGAAGUCGACUCAAUGCGAGGCAAUAACCAGAAGCCAAGAAGCCCUCUUAUUUGCAGGUCUCUAUUUGUUCGCGUUUGGCAACAGCGGAGUAAAAGCAGCAUUGCCAUCCCUGGGAGCCGACCAAUUUGAUGAAAGGAACCCUCUGGAGGCACCUAAACUUGCCAGCUUCUUCAACUGGUUGUUAUUCUCCAUCACUACUGGAGCAAUGCUUGGGGUCACUUUUUUAGUAUGGAUAAGUGCAAAUCAGGGAUGGGAUUGGUCAUCUGGUGUUUGUACUAUUGCUGUAACAAUGAGACUUCUGUUCUUGCGCAUGGGAAGAUCAAUCUACCGAAAUAAUGUCCCCAAGGGCCCCUCCAUCCCCCAGUAUGGAAAUUAAAUCAAGUCUUUUAUUAGUACAUGUUAUUUGCUAAUUAGUAGUACUAGUUUCUAUAUUGUUUAGUCUUGUUUCUUUUCAGUAAUACAUCGGUUGAAGAGGUGAAGCAAGUUCCAAGUCCAAAGCCGAAGUUGUAAGUUGAUUCCAUUCGUGGAUUCGGAAACUGUGAGUCAAUUGAAAAAAAUAAUAACAAUGGAAUUUUGUGCCAAGACGACGGGCCAUCUUCUGAUCAACGAGAUCGAAGAUGGUUGCAGGAAGAAUAUGGUGCUAUCCCCGCUAUCAUUCAAUGCUGUACUCAGCAUGAUUGCUGCAGGAUCGACUGGAUUGACCUUGUACCAGAUGUCCAAGUUCUUGAAUGCAACAACCUUGAUCAUGUCAAUUCAAAGUUAAAAAACUUGACGAGCAUUGCAUCAUCAUCAACUGAUGAUCACAACACCACCAAUGGCAAUCAUGGUGGUGGUCCUGUUAUCUGUCUGGCGAACGGACUGUGGGCAGACAAACAAUACCCUCUAAAACCAUCGUAUCAAAGACUCGUUGAGAGAGUUUAUAAAGCCCAAGCCAAGAACGUGGACUUUGUUAACCAGCAACCAAAGGGCUCGUGACCGACGUUCUCACGCCUGCCAACAUCACUCCAGCUACCAUGCUCAUUCUUGGAACUACACUGUACUUCAAAGGUUCGUGGGAGGAAAAGUUUAACGCAGAGGAAACCGCGAACGGAGACUUUUACCUUUUAAAUGGGGACACAGUUUCAGUACCCUUCAUGACUGGUUGCGAAGCAUAUACUCACUCAUGGAUCAUACGAAGGUUUUGAGGUUGUUAGUAUUCCAUAUCAGAGAGGAAAAGUAUUCUCCUUGUUCAUUUUCCUUCCAAAUGAGAGAGAUGGAUUGCAUAAUCUAUUGGAACAGACAACUCUUGAUUCGGGAUUCUUUACACAAGAUUUUCAGCUCAAGUACGGGGGAUAUGAUACUUUCUGGAUUCCAAAGUCUAAGUUUGCAUUCCAUACUUCUAAAGGGCGACAAACCAUGGAAGAUAUGGUGCUAAAGUUACCAUUUAUGUAGGACUGUAAAGAGCUAACCGGGUUCAUAGACACCAACGGAUUUCCAUUUUAUGUCUCUGAGAUAGUUCAAAAAGCUUUUAUAGAGGUAGAUGAGGUAGGCACGGAAGCAGCAGCUGUUACUGUUGCGUGUGAUUACUUGGUUGCUCAUUAGAUGAUGAGACGAGAUUUGUGGCUGAACAUCCUUUCAUGUUCAUGAUAAGGAAGAGAGCUCCAGGUCAGUGCUGUUUACUGGAGCGGUAUUGAAUCCUCUAGUUCAGGACUGAUCCUGUCAACUCUCUCAACAAGUAUAUUAGUUUUCGGGGGGUAGGGUUUCCAGCUUCGAGUUGAACUUGGCAUGAUAAUGAUGACAUUGUCUUGUUUUUGCUCCAGUCGCGGGGUAGAGUAUUUUGGCAGGUGAUGAUGUG